GUGGGGAAUUUUGGACAAUGGGCGCAAGCCUGAUCCAGCAAUGCCGCGUGCAGGAAGAAGGCCUUCGGGUUGUAAACUGCUUUUGUACGGAACGAAACGGUUCUCUCUAAUACAGGGGGCUAAUGACGGUACCGUAAGAAUAAGCACCGGCUAACUACGUGCCAGCAGCCGCGGUAAUACGUAGGGUGCAAGCGUUAAUCGGAAUUACUGGGCGUAAAGCGUGCGCAGGCGGUUUUGUAAGACAGAGGUGAAAUCCCCGGGCUCAACCUGGGAACUGCCUUUGUGACUGCAAGGCUGGAGUGCGGCAGAGGGGGAUGGAAUUCCGCGUGUAGCAGUGAAAUGCGUAGAUAUGCGGAGGAACACCGAUGGCGAAGGCAAUCCCCUGGGCCUGCACUGACGCUCAUGCACAAAAGCGUGGGGAGCAAACAGGAUUAGAUACCCCGGUAGUCC
rnacentral:rRNA from 1 species